rnacentral:rRNA from 1 species
UCCGGUUGAUCCUGCCGGACCCUACUGCUAUCGGGGUGGGACUAAAACAUGCUAGUCUAACGUCUCCAAGCCAUGGAAGAGACGUGGCAAAAAGCUCAGUAACACGUGGCCAACCUAACCUUGAGACAGGAACAACCCCGGGAAACUGGGGACAAUUCCAGAUAGGCGAGGAACCCUGGAAUGGAUCCUCACCCAAAAGAUGCCCGAACCAUGCUUCAGACAUCGCUCAAGGAUGGAGCCGCGACCGAUCAGGUAGUUGGUAGGACAAAGGCCUACCAAGCCCAUAACCGGUACGGGCCGUGAGAGCGGGAGCCCGGAGAUGGGAACUGAGACAAGGUCCCAGGCCCUACGGGGCGCAGCAGUUACGAAAACUCCGCAAUGCACGAAAGUGUGACGGGGCUACCCCGAGUGCCGUCCGCUGAGGAUGGCUUUUCCACGCCGUAAGGAAGCGUGGGAAUAAGGAGAGGGCAAGUCUGGUGUCAGCCGCCGCGGUAAAACCAGCUCUCCGAGUGGUAGGGAUGAUUAUUGGGCCCAAAGCGUCCGUAGCCAGCCUAACAAGUCUCUCGUCAAAUCCAACGAUCCAAUCGCUGGACCGCGGGAGAUACUGUCAGGCUAGGAGGCGGGAAAGGCCGACGGUACUCUUGGGGUAGGGGUGAAAUCCUAUAAUCCCAGGAGGACCACCAGUGGCGAAGGCUGUCGGCUGGCACGCGCUCGACGGUGAGGGACGAAAGCUUGGGGAGCGAACCGGAUUAGAUACCCGGGUAGUCCAAGCUGUAAACGAUGCGGGCUAGGUGUUGGGGUGGCUACGGGCCACUUCAGUGCCGCAGCGAAGGCAUUAAGCCCGCCGCCUGGGGAGUACGGCCGCAAGGCUGAAACUUAAAGGAAUUGGCGGGGGAGCACCACAAGGGGUGAAGCUUGCGGUUUAAUUGGAGUCAACGCCGGA